AUUGAACGCUGGCGGCAUGCCUUACACAUGCAAGUCGAACGGUAACGGGCCUUCGGGUGCCGACGAGUGGCGAACGGGUGAGUAAUGUAUCGGAACGUACCUUUCAGUGGGGGAUAACGUAGCGAAAGUUACGCUAAUACCGCAUAUUCUGUGAGCAGGAAAGCAGGGGAUCGCAAGACCUUGCGCUGAUUGAGCGGCCGAUAUCAGAUUAGCUAGUUGGUGAGGUAAGGGCUCACCAAGGCGACGAUCUGUAGCGGGUCUGAGAGGAUGAUCCGCCACACUGGAACUGAGACACGGUCCAGACUCCUACGGGAGGCAGCAGUGGGGAAUUUUGGACAAUGGGGGCAACCCUGAUCCAGCCAUGCCGCGUGAGUGAAGAAGGCCUUCGGGUUGUAAAGCUCUUUCGGCCGGGAAGAAAUCGUAUCAGCUAAUACCUGAUGCGGAUGACGGUACCGGCAUAAGAAGCACCGGCUAACUACGUG
rnacentral:rRNA from 1 species